GCAUAGAAUAGAGGCAUCCACACAUAUAUUCGCUAUUCAGUGGCUAAAACAAGAUAGAAAAACAAUUGGCUUGGAUUUUCUGAUGUUAAUGUCUGAUAUCUAACUUGGCUAGACAAGUGGCUCAGAAGAAACUCUCUCCCUUUCUAAUUUGAUUUUAUUUCUCCUCCCAUAAGUUCAAUUUUAGGAUAAAUUUUAGUUUGGA
rnacentral:misc_RNA from 1 species